AUAGGCUACAGGCUCAUGGAUUACUCAUUAAAAGAUCAUGAUCUCGAUUCAAACACACUCAGUUUUAUUGCUAUGUCGAUGAGACCAUGUCUAUUAAACCAUUGAAAUCACAAUCACAUAGGAAUAUUUAAACCUGCUUUCGCGCAGCCGCUGAUCCAGAGAGAGCAGCGCUCAUCAUAAACUUUAUGUUUGAAACAGCUUCCCAGACAGCACACGUACGUCUGGCCGACGUCGGCCCAAUAUCGAAACGUCGGCCUCACUACCUGAAACAUCUAAUAAACAUCGGCCAGGCGUAGGCCGAUAUAAUUCGGUCAGUGCUCUGUUUUCCAGCUCAUCAGUCGUCGGCCCCGAGUCGGUUCACGACCGCGGGCCGAUGCCGCGCUUUUCUGUUUGCGGCGAGCCCAGUUAUUCGUCUCUUAGCAACCCACAGAGAGAAGACACUGGUCCCGGUGACAUCUGUGCUUUCAGGUAAGAUUUCACUUCAGCUAAAUUACAAACAAAUACUACUUUGUUGAUUCUGUGACACUUAAAAGGUACUAGUUAGGCACAUUUGGUGUGCUACAGCACAGGUGAAGAGACUGUGGCUAAUUUCCAACUAACUUGUUUAGCUAACGGUCACGCUAGCGAUUUUUUUAAAUUUAAUGUUUACGCCUUAAUGCGUUUCCAGCCAUUUCUCUGAGGGGAAAUGUUAAAGCGGAUUAUUAAAGAGAAGUCCUAACUGCUUUUUCGCCGUGUUUUUCACUCUUUUACCGGCUGCCAGAAAGAAUCCGUCUCUAUACGGUGAGCUAUUGUUGCUGUUGCUUUUUGAACUACAAAUUGAGUUAUAAGUUCAUUAUUGAAUAUUAAUUGAAAGAGUCUGUAAUUUAUUAAUGUAAUAUUUUAAUCCUAUAUGUUUAUUUGUGUAAAUGCUGUGUGCGCGUUGAGCUCUGCGCGAGCGGGGAGCAGAGUUGCCAUGGAAACGGGGCUUUGACACAACUACUGGCGAACAGUAAUCUCCGUCUCUCGCUGCGGUUUUCACCGAUUUCAGGAGGACAGAAAGAAACUCUACAUAACAGAAGGGAAGCUCCAAGAUUUCAACAUUUCUGAAGGGAGCUACUGACUUAGAAAUACAGAUUCUUCAGUGGUGAUGGCCUGCUGCACCCAGCAGAGUUGGAGUGAACCUACUGUCAGACAGUGGCGUACCGUGGGGUUUCAGUCAGGGCCUUCAAUUCUUCAGUGCUGAUGGCCUGCUGCACCCGGCAGAGUCAGUGUGAACUCCUGUAAGACAACAUCACCAAGAUGCUAUAAACCGCAGGAUUAGAUGCCCAUCCCGAGGUUACUAGAGAUGAAGCCAGCUCCAGUUUGGAUCCAAACUCACUUGUGAAGAUGCCAACGCUCACAAAGACUACAGAUGACGGCAACUGUACAUGGACACACAAAACACUGGACACACAAAACAAAUAUUAUCCUUAUAUUGCCUAUAAGGGUAAGUUUGACGAUUUUCAACCCGCUAAUGUAUUAUUGCAACGUCUGUAAUAUCUGUAAAUGAACAAUAUUUACUCUUUCUCUGAGUUAUAUGGACCCUAUUUGUCCCCUUUUAUUUGUAAGCAGCACUUCGUAAGAUGACGCAAAAUGAAAUGAGUUUUCACAAAAUGACACAAACACUUUUGCAGCAUCUAAAUGAAAAAAUGCUGUUUUGCAUCAGUUUUGCUGACAACUACACUGGGAGAAAGAAUAAACAUUGUUCUUUUACAUAUGUUACCAACAUUGUAACAAUACAAAAUGGACUGAAAAUUGUUGAACUUACCCUUUAAUAAUGUUGAAGGAUAAUGUUUAACUGAACACAAAAAUAAGAGACUUUAAAUAAAAAUAUUUUAGAAUUUUUAUCAUGCUAUUUAAAAUUUUUAACUGCUUAUUUAUUGUUUGCCUGGUUUUUUAAUUUGUGUUUAUGCAACUGUUGUAUUAUUGUAACUCAGUUUUUGCCAUGAAGAUAGCCUUCGAUGCUGACAGCACAGAACACAUGACUUGUUUUAUGAACUACUGUCAUAUGGACAUUAUUUUGUUGCCAGAAGAUGGUCUUCCCCAGUGAGUCUCAGUCACCUCUGGCUGAUUAAAGGAUGUUUUUAAAUUGUAACCUUGAAAUAUCAUUUCAAAGUAGGUUUACAGAAUAUGCAUAAGUAUUGUGAAAAGUGCUAUACUUAUACAAUAUUUAACCAUGGUUUUACUAUAGUAAAACUAGCAAGCAUGAUUAUAGUAACCAUGUGUUUUUUUUUAUUUUUGAAACCACAGUUUCGAUGUCAUAUUCUAUAGUAAUAUUGUAGUAAUACUUCAGUAAAACUGGUAACUAUGACUAUAGUGACCAUAGUUUUGAAAUUAUGGUAAAUGUUGUAACUAUGGUUUUACUGCAAAUGCUGUAGUAACGUUUAUUUUGUAGUUACUAUGGUUUUACUGCAACAGUCAUAGUUAUACCAUGGUUACUGUAGUAAAACUAUGGUAGAUUUUAUUUUUACUAUGGUUUUACUACUUUAAAUGCUAUAGUAAUGGUUAUUUUUGUAGUUACUAUGGUUUUACUGCAACAGUCAUAGUUAAACCAUGGUGAUUGUAGUAAAACUAUGGUUAAUUUUGAGUUUACUAUGGUUUUACUGCAAAUGCUGUGGUAAAAUCAUGGUUAAUUUUCAAAAGACCACAAAUAAUCGUGAAUUAUCCGCUUUUGAUCAAAACAUCUGGUAAAUGUAAAUGUAUUUGUAUGUGUAAUGUGUUAAAUUAAAAUAUUAAUAAAGUUG